rnacentral:rRNA from 1 species
UAUCAAAGCUCCGGCGGUAUGAGAUGGACCCGCGUCUGAUUAGCUAGUUGGUGAGGUAACGGCUCACCAAGGCAACGAUCAGUAGCCGACCUGAGAGGGUGAUCGGCCACAUUGGAACUGAGACACGGUCCAAACUCCUACGGGAGGCAGCAGUGGGGAAUAUUGCACAAUGGGCGAAAGCCUGAUGCAGCAACGCCGCGUGAGCGAUGAAGGCCUUCGGGUCGUAAAGCUCUGUCCUCAAGGAAGAUAAUGACGGUACUUGAGGAGGAAGCCCCGGCUAACUACGUGCCAGCAGCCGCGGUAAUACGUAGGGGGCUAGCGUUAUCCGGAUUUACUGGGCGUAAAGGGUGCGUAGGCGGUCUUUUAAGUCAGGAGUGAAAGGCUACGGCUCAACCGUAGUAAGCUCUUGAAACUGGAGGACUUGAGUGCAGGAGAGGAGAGUGGAAUUCCUAGUGUAGCGGUGAAAUGCGUAGAUAUUAGGAGGAACACCAGUAGCGAAGGCGGCUCUCUGGACUGUAACUGACGCUGAGGCACGAAAGCGUGGGGAGCAAACAGGAUUAGAUACCCUGGUAGUCCACGCCGUAAACGAUGAGUACUAGCUGUCGGAGGUUACCCCCUUCGGUGGCGCAGCUAAC